GACCGCGUAGCUCAGUUGGCAGAGCAUUGGGCUAGUAUUCCAAAGGUCGUAGGUUCGAAUCCAACCGCGGCCA
rnacentral:tRNA from 1 species